UACGGAGGGUGCAAGCGUUAUCCGGAUUCACUGGGUUUAAAGGGUGCGUAGGCGGAUAGGUAAGUCCGUGGUGAAAUCCUGCAGCUUAACUGCAGAACUGCCAUGGAUACUAUCUAUCUUGAAUGUCGUGGAGGUUAGCGGAAUAUGUCAUGUAGCGGUGAAAUGCUUAGAUAUGACAUAGAACACCCAUUGCGAAGGCAGCUAACUACGCGAUAAUUGACGCUGAUGCACGAAAGCGUGGGAU
rnacentral:rRNA from 1 species